rnacentral:rRNA from 1 species
CCUACGGGAGGCUGCAGUGGGGAAUAUUGCACAAUGGGGGAAACCCUGAUGCAGCAACGCCGCGUGAGUGAAGAAGUUUUUCGGUAUGUAAAGCUCUAUCAGCAGGGAAGAAAAUGACGGUACCUGCUUAAGAAGCCCCGGCUAACUACGUGCCAGCAGCCGCGGGAAUACGUAGGGGGCAAGCGUUAUCCGGAUUUACUGGGGGUAAAGGGGGGGUAGGCGGCAGCACAAGUCUGGAGUGAAAUGCCGGGGGUUAACCCCGGAACUGCUGUGGAAACUGUGCAGCUAGAGUGCAGGAGAGGUAAGUGGAAUGCGUAGUGUAGCGGUGAAAUGCGUAGAUAUUAGGAGGAACACCAGUGGCGAAGGCGGCUUACUGGACUGUAACUGACGUUGAGGCUCGAAAGCGUGGGGAGCGAACAGGAUUAGAUACCCGGGUAGUC